GACGUAGGGCGCGAGCGUUGUCCGGAUUUAUUGGGCGUAAAGAGCUCGUAGGCGGCUUGUCGCGUCGAAUGUGAAAUCUCAGGGCUCAACCCCGGGCCUGCAGCCGAUACGGGCAAGCUAGAGUUCGGUAGGGGAGACUGGAAUUCCUGGUGUAGCGGUGAAAUGCGCAGAUAUCAGGAGGAACACCAGUGGCGAAAGGCGGUCUCUG
rnacentral:rRNA from 1 species